rnacentral:misc_RNA from 1 species
UAAUAAGUGUUUUAAUGGCACUUCUUAAUCCAUAUCCACCUUGUGUGCAAUGUCAGUCGAUCUUCUUCAUGGAGAUCGACCAAACAUCAACCUUUAUCUUUUAAACUACUUUGUCUGAAAAAUUAUUAUGAAUAAACAAUUCAAAAUA